AAUAUUAUGGGUCGUGUCGGAUGAUGAUGACCCCCCGGCCGUGGGCUUCAUUACUUGCACAAGGGAUGCCGGAGAAGGAUUAUUCACAGAGAUAUCAAGGCCUCCAAUAUACUCCUGACAACAAAUUUUGAACCUCAGAUUUCAGAUUUCGGGCUCGCAAAAUGGCUUCCUUCGGAGUGGACUCACCGUGCCGUCGCACCGAUCGAAGGGACAUUCGGGUGUCUGGCACCGGAGUAUUUCAUGCAUGGGAUCGUUGAUGAGAAAACUGAUGUCUUUGCUUUUGGUGUCUUCCUCUUGGAGAUCAUAUCAGGGAGGAAACCGGUGGAUGGGUCUCACAAAAGCUUGCUUAGCUGGGCAAAACCUUAUUUAAGCGAUGGCGCGAUACAGAAACUGGUGGAUACGCGGCUUGAGCAGGACUACGACAUGGGACAGUUGAAGAGGCUUACCUUCAUAGCCUCUCUCUGCAUCAGGGCAACUGCAGCAUGGCGUCCAUCCAUGACCGAGAAGGGUCACACACUUAUAAGAAACAAAUUAUGUACAGUGGUAUUAUGAAAGGCCAAAAAAAAGGAGUCGAAAAACUAAGAGAGGGAGAGAGAGACCUUGCAGAGCUCGUUUUAUGUAUAAAGAGAUUAGAUAAAAGCCGUGACAUGUUUUCACAAUUUGUUAUACAAAUAAACAGUCUCAUGUACCAAGUAAUAAAAUGAGCGUUACUGAA